GAUAGAUUUUGUAUUUGGCCAACUCACACUCCACGCAUGUCAGUCGUCCACAAAGUAUAUAAAACAAGCAACACACAAGGAGAAAGAGACAAAAAUAAAAUAACACGUAUCAAAAAAAUUUUUUUUUCUAACAACGUUCAAUGACGUUAACUGGAGUGUGGGGUUCGAGUAGAUGUCAUUCCACCUUUUCAUUUAUCAUUACCAUUCUUUUCGUUCGAUUUUAUUUUUCCUCCACUUUUGUGUUUUUUCUGUCCUUGUGUUGUUCCCUCUGUGUGUCGACGCUGUGUGGUUAAUAAAAAAAAUUAAGUCGUUCUUUUCCUUAACAAGUUCAGGCAUUUAUCCACUCCCAUAUAUUAUUUCUUCACGAAUAUGCUUUCCUUUUUUUCCUCUAACUCUGUGUUUUUCAGUCAUUUUUGAUUGAAUCUCUUGCAAGUUAACAUAGGAUCCCUUGACGAUAAUGUAACCGUCAUUUGAUUAAGGUAUCUUUGGCUCGACGAGUAGCGAGCGGAUUACCUCCUCGUUUAGGUAAUUAUUGUGGAGGCGCGUGGCUUAGUGGUUAGGGUGUCAGCAUCAUGAUCGUAAGAUUGUGGUUUCGAUUCCUGAACCGGGCGACACGUGUUCUUGAGCAAAACACUUCAUUUCACGUUACUCCAGUCCACUCAGCUGGCAAAAAUGAAUAACGCUACGAUGGACUGGCGUCCCGUCCAGCUGGGGAACACAUACGUCAUUGAAAUCGGGAAACCGGGCCCAUGAGCCUGGCUAGGCUUUAAAAGGGCGCAUUUAUUAUUUUUUUUAUUUAGGGAAUUAUUACAUAUGAAACAUAUAUAGCCUGGAUUUUAUCCGCUCCAUUCCCUAACAUAAAAAACUGUGCAUAUACACCCACAUACAAACCCACAGGUUGCCAUAGAAUAACAAACACUAUGUGAUAUAUAAUUCAAACGACAGCAACGUUUUAUCUGAACAAGUUUGGUGUUACACCUCCGAUUAUUUCCAAUGAGAGUAGAAGCACUCAGAGAGAUAGACAGACAGGCAGGCAAGCAGGCAUGCAAGCAGGCAGGCAAGUAGUGGCCGGACAGGUAGGUAAGUAAGUAGACGAAGAAAAUAAACAAUACGUACAUUUCUUAUUUAUCAGCUAGAUGAAGUUAUCAUCAACUAUGCUUUUAAAACUGAACUUAACAGUUAUCUCUUUUUCGGCCUGUUCACACGUGUCUAAUAUGUUUGUGUGUAGGUGUUUGUAUAUGCACACACAUACACACGCAUAUAGGUAUGUGUAAGUGUGUAUAUAUACAUAUAUGUGUGUGUGUGUAAGUGUGUUUGUAUGUCUAUAAAUGUGUGUGUGUGAAGUCGUGUGGUUUGGUGGUUAGGGUACUCGACUCGCGAUCGUAGGGUCACGAGUUCGAUUCCCGGCCGCGCGUUGUGUCCUUGAACAAGACACUUUAUUUCACGUUAUGUGAUUGAAUGCGUGUGCUGCAUAUAUAUAUUGUGUAAUGUCCGUUAUACUUGACCGUUUCUACCAUGUGUUAUCUUCUAUCACGUAUUAUUAUCUCUCGCCUUGUAUCAUUAUCUUUCAUCUUCUCCACCUCACCACCCGUCCCAACAUUCAUGCUGAUCCUUUCACAUCGUAACCAUGAUCUACUUAAACAUAGCUGACAGUAAACUUCCGGUUGUCUGGUUUUAUACCAAAUCAUUGAAAUUAUUGAACCCAAGGCACUUCCAAGACACGACAUUGUAGAAGCUUGCAGCAUGGAUCUCCUUAACUUUGUCAAGUCUUCUCCUAAAAUUCAUUCAACAAGAAAGGUGAACACUGAAUGAAGCGUCUUUAUCCAAUUUUCCCCGCAUUUUCGCUGACGAAACCAAUUACCCCCAGGAAACAGGAAGUGAUUAUUGUUGCUUCAGCAACCUUUGGUUUAUUAUACUUAACAGUUUCUCUUAUCUGCUACAUUAUAAACAAAAUAGGAUCUGUUAUUGAACGUGUUUGUAUACGAAGUCCUUUCUGCACUUCUUACUUGUGGAAACUGAAUGUGCUCGUGUAACGGCAUAUGUAUUGUUUCCCAACUAUAUGGUUCCGGGUUCAGUCUCACUGCAUGGCAUCUUGGGAAAGUGUUUUCUCCUACAGCCUCGGGCCAACCAAAGCCUUGGGAGUGGAUUUGGUUGACAGAAAUUGAAAGAAGCCCGUCGUGUGUGUGUGUGUGUGUGUGUGUGUCUCCCACUAUCAUUUGAGAAUCGGUCUGGAUGUAUUUCCGUCGUCGUAAAUCGGCAGUUCGUAAGAGAGAUCGAUAAAAGUACGAGGCUUAAAAAGACUGUAAUGGGGUCGAUUCAUACGAUUGAAAAUUCUUCAAGGUGGAGCCCCAACAUGGCCGUAGUCUAAUGACUGAAAGAAGUCAACGAUAAAAGAUGACCGUAGACAAGAUUCGAAACACGUAACUAUCGCUUGUUAAGUCACUGCUCUAACUUUUAGACUUCAAAGUGCCAGCUGUUUCCUCUUCAAACAAUAAUCGUCUGGUGAAUAAUUAUCUUGUCGAUAUAAAGUAAUACAGUUAAAACAAUUUAUGGUACUUAAUUAGAGAAGACAGAUUAGCUGGAGUUCUGACAAGGCAAGUGAUACAUACGUGGUUCGGGCUCAGUAACUGCUGCGUGUGUUGAUAAUGUUUAAUAUCCUUUACAUAAGUUGCUUACAGUUGGCUGACGCUAGAUAUUAUAAAUUAAUCUUUCACAAAACUUCAAAUGUGAAUCUCUGGUUAAGUUAAGAUGGAAACUGCAAGUAAAGCCACGACGCAGUGGACGAUAGAGCAUUGCGUGUUUGUCUACGACAGUUACGUGAAGUAUAACGAGUCUGUCACAGCAAUUCACCGUAUGUUUCGAUACCACUUCAACAUUCACCGAAAUCAAGCUGUUCCCACCCGUAACACAAUCUUACGUUGGGUGAAUGCACUUCAUACACGAGGUACACUAAUGAAUAGGAGACCGGUGGGGGCGCCACGAGCGGUACGGACCUCGGAAAAUGUGCAACGCGUCAAACAAGCUUUCAGAAAUGCAUCAACGAAAAUGGACACCAAAUGUUGGAUGUUGUUUUUAACACUUGAUUUUGACAAAUACUAAUUCAUUACAAACUCGUUGAUGUCAAUAAAACUUGUUUGCAGCUAAAA